rnacentral:lncRNA from 1 species
UGAACUCUAUUACUCUCUGCGUAUUUUUCAUUUCUUCAAUUUUUAUUUUAGCAUUUUCUAUUAUUUUGAACUGUUUGUAGUUAUUUUGAAGUAUUUCUUUUUUUUUACAGAAUGAACUUGAGGCUCUUCCCUAGAAGAAUAAUUGGAUUGAGUAAAGUUUUUUAUUUUAUUUUUCAUUGUGGUUCUAUAUUGAUAUUGAUUGAGUAAAGUUUU